UUCCUCUGUGCGCGUGUGUUUGGUUUUUACAGGAUUUAUGUUCUCUCACUACGAAAUGGGAAGGAAAUUACUUGAGUUCAUUUGAUAUUGUGAGCAGGAGCGUUAAGGGUACGACAUUUAACCUUUAGUUCCUUCUUCUAGUUUAUGUUAAAAGUUCCAAUUUGCAGACGUGCUGCACUUGGAGAAACUAGUGGAUGUUUUCCUUGGAAGCUGAGAAGCUUACUUAUCCUUUAAAUGAAAAGGUCUAACUCAGCAGGGUGUGACGUAAGAUAGGCAAAUUCAGUGGAAACCAGCAGAGAUUAAGUGAGCAAUAUAAAACUGGAAACGCAACAGAUAACCUGCAACAGGUCACAGGUAGAUAAUUCAAAGUACUAUUUGAGAUAUUUGUACCCCCAAGUCUCCAUACCACUAUCUCGAUAGUAAAGCCAAAGACAAAGGCUUAGGCUAAUUAGCUACUACUUACUUCAGUCUUACAGAUUGUAGUAGCAUAUAUUUUACAGUAAAACAGGAGUGUUCGUAAGCUCGGGCUAUCAUCUGAUUGCCACUACAACACUUUAACUGGCACAAGGUUAAGAGCUGUUUUUUUAUGGGUAGUAAGGCUAAGACCAACCGACUCUUCCAUGUCAAUGUUUUCUUCCUUCAUCCCAUAGGGUAACUUCCAGUCGAAAGCAUACAGAAGAUUUGCGAGUGCGAGCUCAAUUGUUGAUGUUGCCAUAUAAAUCCCAGGACAACCUCUUCGACCAGCUCCAAAUGUUAACAGCUCAAAAUGUUGGCCUUUAUAAUCAAUAGAGCCAUCAAUGAACCUUUCUGGGAUGAAUUCUUCUGGGUUCUUCCAGUAUUCAGGAUCUCGUCCUAUUGCCCAAGCAUUGACUUGGAGUAGUGUUUUCGGGUAAAUGUCAUAACCGUUGAUCUUAAAGUGUUUGAUGGUAUCUCUUGGAAGUAGCAGUGUGGCUGGUGGGUGCAAUCUGAAAGUUUCUUUCAGUAUCAUCUUGAGGUAGGGAAGCUGAUCAGUGUCCUCUUCAGUGACUUUUCCUUUGUUUCCAGCGAAAUUUCUAACUUCAUCUUGGGCUUUCUUCAUCACUCUUGGGUUCCUAACAAGCUCUGCCAUUGCCCAUAUCAUUGUAAUUGCACCAGUGUCGACUCCACCUAAAAAUAUGUUCUGGUAUAUAUAUACGAGUAUCACAGGUAAGCUAGCUAGCAGAAGUUAAUUAGUUUCAUAAUCACAAGCAAAUACAAGACUAGGUAUGACCUAUUUUCUGUUAUAGAUAAAGAUUGCAUUAAACACAGGAAAAUCGAUCGGAUGCUUACCAAGAGGACUGCCUUGAUGUUAUUUUUAGUGAACCGAUCAGACUCGGUUUGCUCCCUUUCUAUUCUCAGCAGCACAUCGAUGAUGUCCUCGUGCUCUUGUUCUGUCCUCUCGGGAGUGAGGUGAAGAUCAAUUACCUGUUGGAAAAAGUUAUCCAACUCAUGGGAAACCCUUUCAAGCCUUUGACGUCUGUCAGAUAGCCUGUCCAUAAUCCAUCCCACGUAUGGAAAGUACUCGGCUGCAUCGAAGCUUCCCAACAAGGCUUCAGCCUCAUGAAUCAAUUCUUGAAAUUUUUCAUUAUCCAAUUCACUCCCGCGGAAACUCUUGCCGUAAGCAAUCCUAAAAGUUAUGCUUGCAGUGAGAGCAAACAGCUUCUCAGAAAGAUCAACAGGGGUUGCAGAAGACGAAGACUCAGAUAUUGAAUUGGUAAGCGAAGCGACUUCUUCUUCCCUAAUGGACCGGUAUGAUUGCACUCUCUUCACGCUAAAGACCUCAAGAACGCAUAUUUUCCGUAUCUCUCUCCAAUAUUCGCCGUAAGGUACAAAAGCCAUGUCUUUAUAAUUGUAGGUAAGUCUUCUAGAGCUGGCCAUGACUGGCCUACUGCAACAGUCAAGAUCGUGAACUUUUAAGGCCUCUCUUGCAGCCUCAGCAGAAGAUAUAAUAACAUUUGGUAUACUGCCGAGGUGAAGGAGCAUCACCGGGCCGUAUUUUUGGGAGAGUCGCCACAAAGAUUGGUGAGGCAAUUCUCCAUUAAUCUGGUGCAAGUUACCUAUAAUGGGAAGCUUAGGAGGGCUUGGUGGAGGGCGUUUGUUUUGCACCACUCGAGCAUCCUUCUUCUUUUUAAUGAUCAGCAGCAGUAGAGGGAAAAGCAAGAGAAGAGGAAGCCAAAUGGAUACGGCAUAGAGAGCCAUUGAAGCAGCUUUGUCUCUUAUGCUCAUGCACCGAUUGAGCUUCAGCUGUUGCUCUUCAUCCAUAAAUAAAUAGAGAUCCCCGGUGAAGACAACCGUGACCAUUCAACCCAUGCUGUCAUUCAAAUUCCACUUCGAUCUGUUCGAAUAUGACAUUUCCAAGAUCAUUUUCCAAGUCAAGUAAUCAUGCUACACCAGGCUGCUUCAACUAUUGCUGCUAGCUAUUCUCUUUGUAUUUAGAGAAAUGAUCCUUACACUCAUUUCUCACAACAGUCCUACAACAAGCUGAUGUGGCUGGUAAUAUUUUAUUAUUUUUUUACAAAAAGAAAAGAAAAAAAAACAAAAAAAAUAAUAAAAUAUUACUAGCCACGUCAGCUUGUUGUGUGGCUGUUGUGAGAAAUGAGUGUAGGGAUCAUUUCUCAUUUCCUAAACAUGGAAAAGUAAACAAUGUCAAGAAGUUUGUUCACAUCAGGAUUCAAUGUGGAAUACAUGCAACAAAAGGAACGAUAUUACUUAAGUGAGAAACAUCCCUAAUACUUUCAUGAAU